rnacentral:rRNA from 1 species
GGUUAAGCGACUAAGCGUACACGGUGGAUGCCCUGGCAGUCAGAGGCGAUGAAGGACGUGCUAAUCUGCGAUAAGCGUCGGUAAGGUGAUAUGAACCGUUAUAACCGGCGAUUUCCGAAUGGGGAAACCCAGUGUGAUUCGUCACACUAUCAUUAACUGAAUCCAUAGGUUAAUGAGGCGAACCGGGGGAACUGAAACAUCUAAGUACCCCGAGGAAAAGAAAUCAACCGAGAUUCCCCCAGUAGCGGCGAGCGAACGGGGAGCAGCCCAGAGCCUGAAUCAGUGUGUGUGUUAGUGGAAGCGUCUGGAAAGGCGCGCGAUACAGGGUGACAGCCCCGUACACAAAAAUGCACAUGCUGUGAGCUCGAUGAGUAGGGCGGGACACGUGGUAUCCUGUCUGAAUAUGGGGGGACCAUCCUCCAAGGCUAAAUACUCCUGACUGACCGAUAGUGAACCAGUACCGUGAGGGAAAGGCGAAAAGAACCCCGGCGAGGGGAGUGAAAAAGAACCUGAAACCGUGUACGUACAAGCAGUGGGAGCCUCUUUAUGGGGUGACUGCGUACCUUUUGUAUAAUGGGUCAGCGACUUAUAUUCUGUAGCAAGGUUAACCGAAUAGGGGAGCCGAAGGGAAACCGAGUCUUAACUGGGCGUUAAGUUGCAGGGUAUAGACCCGAAACCCGGUGAUCUAGCCAUGGGCAGGUUGAAGGUUGGGUAACACUAACUGGAGGACCGAACCGACUAAUGUUGAAAAAUUAGCGGAUGACUUGUGGCUGGGGGUGAAAGGCCAAUCAAACCGGGAGAUAGCUGGUUCUCCCCGAAAGCUAUUUAGGUAGCGCCUCGUGAAUUCAUCUCCGGGGGUAGAGCACUGUUUCGGCAAGGGGGUCAUCCCGACUUACCAACCCGAUGCAAACUGCGAAUACCGGAGAAUGUUAUCACGGGAGACACACGGCGGGUGCUAACGUCCGUCGUGAAGAGGGAAACAACCCAGACCGCCAGCUAAGGUCCCAAAGUCAUGGUUAAGUGGGAAACGAUGUGGGAAGGCCCAGACAGCCAGGAUGUUGGCUUAGAAGCAGCCAUCAUUUAAAGAAAGCGUAAUAGCUCACUGGUCGAGUCGGCCUGCGCGGAAGAUGUAACGGGGCUAAACCAUGCACCGAAGCUGCGGCAGCGACGCUUAUGCGUUGUUGGGUAGGGGAGCGUUCUGUAAGCCUGCGAAGGUGUGCUGUGAGGCAUGCUGGAGGUAUCAGAAGUGCGAAUGCUGACAUAAGUAACGAUAAAGCGGGUGAAAAGCCCGCUCGCCGGAAGACCAAGGGUUCCUGUCCAACGUUAAUCGGGGCAGGGUGAGUCGACCCCUAAGGCGAGGCCGAAAGGCGUAGUCGAUGGGAAACAGGUUAAUAUUCCUGUACUUGGUGUUACUGCGAAGGGGGGACGGAGAAGGCUAUGUUGGCCGGGCGACGGUUGUCCCGGUUUAAGCGUGUAGGCUGGUUUUCCAGGCAAAUCCGGAAAAUCAAGGCUGAGGCGUGAUGACGAGGCACUACGGUGCUGAAGCAACAAAUGCCCUGCUUCCAGGAAAAGCCUCUAAGCAUCAGGUAACAUCAAAUCGUACCCCAAACCGACACAGGUGGUCAGGUAGAGAAUACCAAGGCGCUUGAGAGAACUCGGGUGAAGGAACUAGGCAAAAUGGUGCCGUAACUUCGGGAGAAGGCACGCUGAUA